rnacentral:tRNA from 1 species
UGGGUGCGUAGCUCAGUGGUAGAGCGCUACGUUGACAUCGUAGAGGUCGCUGGUUCGAACCCAGUCGUGCCCACC